UAAAUAGCCCGGCUGGCUUUUGCAAGUCGCUGGCUUCUUAGAGGGACCCUCUGCUCAAGCAGAUGGAAGUUUGGGGCAAUAACAGGUCUGUGAUGCCCUUAGAUGUCCUGGGCUGCACGCGCGCUACACUGACAGAGCCAACGAGUUUAGUCCUUGACCGGAAGGU
rnacentral:rRNA from 1 species